CGGCGCUGCUCGUGGGGCAAGCAUGCCUGGGAGAUGACCUGGGGCACCACGCCCUGCCUAUCUCAGACAAGGAACUCCAGGCAGCAGUGGCGAAGCUGAGCAGCCCCAUCCUUAAGGGGAGGAGGCCGGCUCAUAUUUGCCUAUUAGGGCCGUGGGACGCCGAGGUUCUGCUGGGUCGCUCCUGGAAAUAGAUCCUUCCCAGCCAGCACCCGAAGUCAGCAGCAGAGGGCAAAGCACCUGGGCUUUAGCUCCAAGCUCCACGAUCCUCCUGGGACUGAGAUACCUUUGUCAUUUACCUGGGAUUUACAGGGACCAAAAAGCUGGACAUCAUUCACCACCGGGAACAGCAUAUUGUUCCUGGAAGAGGCAAAAGCCUAGGGCUUCAAGAUGCCGGGGCUUCAAGAAACCAAGGCAUGACCUCAAGAGAUUUGCCGGAGGUGGCCUCGGUGGCAGCAGUCAUUGAAGAAAGGAAGACAGCUGCCCAGCCAGUCUGACAGACCAUACACAGACAGCCCUGUUCACAGGGAGAUAAGUGUCUCUGCACAACCCGCGGCCACCACGGCGGCUUCAGGAAAGGCUCCCACAUUCCCAGAGCCUCUGCUGCGGCUCACUGACAAAUCAGCCCCUCAAUAAUCUUAUUGUAUGUUUUCAAAAUAAUUCUCAGUAAUGCCCCAAGAAUGUCUGAACUUCUGUGUGAACUCGCUAGUUUGCAUAUUUUUCAGCUUAUUAGCGAGAACUCUGAUAGACAAAGCCCAUGACCUUGCUUUUCCACGGACCUCUUGGCCGGGGUGCAAGGGCAGCCUCUCCUGCUGGUGAACUUGCAGUGCCCUCCUGUCUUGUUCUGAUUCUCUCUCACACUGAUUCCAGCCUCUUUCUUCCCUUGCCCUCUUCAUAGACAACAUUAAGAAAUAAAUCACUUGGCUUUGAUGAUGGUUUACUCAUUAGAGAAGGCCACAAGAUUCAGGUUCUGAAUUUUCAUGAAGCAAGAUUCUGGAAAAAGAAAGAGAGUGCAGAGAUAGUGUUGCCUUUGAUUACCUGUUUACCCCAAACCCAGCGCCGCUGGGAAGGGAGCACUCAGCUUCUGAUUUCAGGAUGACUGCAUGCGACCACAGUUCUAAUACAGCUUGUCAUUCAUAAAUCCCUGAGACAUCACAGGCCCAGCCAGAUGUGAUGUGGCCUGGCCUAAUCCUUCAAUGCAAUGCAAGGGAGGGUGGAAGUUAAACCUUAAUUAAAAACAAGAUCUGAUACUGCAAAAUUACCGUUUUAAAAAUGCUUUGAAUGGGCUUAUUUGGGAGUGUAUUCAAGUGUAUGGAUACGCAGACUCAGGAGACACUGUUUUCUUGUUUCCUUAAAUGCAGCUAAUUAUAUAGAAUCAUAAAGAAGAUAAAUAUCAGACUUCAUAGCUAUAGGAUAAGCUUCUCUCCAAUACGUCUACCCAGGUUUUAGCUAUAUAUAGCUUGAUAUAUUUUGAUUGCAUUUGCCAAUUCUUCUCUGUGGAUUUCCAGUUACAUGUAAAAUAACCUCAGAGUUAGGGUCCUGCAACAAAGACAAGGGGCCAAUUUUUUGCUUAAGUCAUCCAGUUCCCAAUUUUUGCUUAAGUCAUCCAGUCACUUCUAUAUUUAUUCUUUUCUUUCCCCAAGAAACCUUCCGUGAUUACUAUCAAAGUUGAGUCUUUUCCCCAAAGCUCCUAUUAGAUCUAUGUAAGAUCUUAUAAACUGUCUUGGUUUCCCUUUUAUACUUUUCAAUUGCUUCCCUGUUCAACCUUAUGAAUAAUUUU